rnacentral:rRNA from 1 species
UAGGGAAUCUUCCGCAAUGGACGCAAGUCUGACGGAGCAACGCCGCGUGAGUGAAGAAGGAUUUCGGUUCGUAAAACUCUGUUGUUAGAGAAGAACAGCGCAUAGAGUAACUGUUAUGCGUGUGACGGUAUCUAACCAGAAAGCCACGGCUAACUACGUUCCAGCAGCCGCGGUAAUACGUAGGUGGCAAGCGUUGUCCGGAUUUAUUGGGCGUAAAGCGAGCGCAGGCGGUCAAUUAAGUCUGAUGUGAAAGCCCCCGGCUCAACCGGGGAGGGUCAUUGGAAACUGGUUGACUUGAGUGCAGAAGAGGAGAGUGGAAUUCCAUGUGUAGCGGUGAAAUGCGUAGAUAUAUGGAGGAACACCGGUGGCGAAAGCGGCUCUCUGGUCUGUAACUGACGCUGAGGCUCGAAAGCGUGGGGAGCGAACAGG